GACGAACGCUGGCGGCGUGCUUAACACAUGCAAGUCGAACGGUAAGGCCCCUUCGGGGGUACACGAGUGGCGAACGGGUGAGUAACACGUGAGCAACCUGCCCUUGACUCUGGGAUAACAGUUGGAAACAGCUGCUAAUACCGGAUACGACCUUCGAUGACAUCAUCUGGAGGUGGAAGGCGCUUUAGCGGUCAAGGAUGGGCUCGCGGCCUAUCAGCUUGUUGGUGAGGUAACGGCUCACCAAGGCUUCGACGGGUAGCCGGCCUGAGAGGGCGACCGGCCACACUGGGACUGAGAUACGGCCCAGACUCCUACGGGAGGCAGCAGUGGGGAAUAUUGCACAAUGGGCGCAAGCCUGAUGCAGCAACGCCGCGUGCGGGAUGACGGCCUUCGGGUUGUAAACCGCUUUCAGUUCCGACGAAGCGCAAGUGACGGUAGGAACAGAAGAAGGACCGGCCAACUACGUGCCAGCAGCCGCAGUAA
rnacentral:rRNA from 1 species